AACGAACGCUGGCGGCAGGCUUAACACAUGCAAGUCGAGCGCCCCGCAAGGGGAGCGGCAGACGGGUGAGUAACGCGUGGGAAUCUACCCAUCUCUACGGAAUAACGCAUGGAAACGUGUGCUAAUACCGUAUACGUCCUUCGGGAGAAGGAUUUAUCGGAGAUGGAUGAGCCCGCGUUGGAUUAGCUAGUUGGUGGGGUAAAGGCCUACCAAGGCGACGAUCCAUAGCUGGUCUGAGAGGAUGAUCAGCCACACUGGGACUGAGACACGGCCCAGACUCCUACGGGAGACAGCAGUGGGGAAUAUUGGACAAUGGGCGCAAGCCUGAUCCAGCCAUGCCGCGUGAGUGAUGAAGGUCCUAGGGUUGUAAAGCUCUUUCACCGGUGAAGAUAAUGACGGUAACCGGAGAAGAAGCCCCGGCUAACUUCGUGCCAGCCGCCGCGGUAAGAC
rnacentral:rRNA from 1 species